rnacentral:lncRNA from 1 species
GCGGACUUUUUCUGUUUUCAUUUAAAAUACCCAACAAGCUUUCUAGCGCUGUUGCCGGGGAAUGGUAGUUGUGCUAGUUUCGAACCAAGUCGUGCGUGUAUCCUUUUUUCUUUGUUACCAUACUCACCUUACCACUUUCACCAUACCACAUGGAUUUCACUCCAAACAUUAAUGAGCAUGAAAUUUAUUUCAUAGCCACUUCGUUUACUCCAUGCUCAUAUGCAACAUCUUCCCAAUCUAUUGGUCUCUCCAACAUCACCACAUUCGAGAUCUCCAACCCCUUUUCCUUUCUAUUUAUAAAAACUUUAAAAGGGCGGUUGUCGAUGCAUAUGUCUAUAAUAAAUAUUGCAGAUCUCAUUGAGUUGAUCUUGAUAUAGGUCAGCGUUGGAGGGGAAACCACUUCGCCAACAUAAAUUGAUGGUUUCCCAAGGACAAGCUUAGUGUCCUAAAAUAAGCAGUGAUCAGAUUGUAACAUGAGCUUUUAAUUAUUUGCAACAUUACCUUGUGUAUUGAGCAUAUAAGGAUAAUUGUAAAAAAAUUCCUUCGGGUAUUCUUGUCACUAACCUUUCCAGGAUUGGAGCAAGAAGACCGGAUGAAUCACAAGCACAAGGUAUGUCCAACCAAUCAUCAUACAACAUUGAAUUAAUUUCAUCCAAACUUGCAUUUUGCAAAAUUCAAGCUUGGGGGAGUACCUUACAUAAAAACAUCCUUUGCCAUGUUGCUAUGUUGGUUGUCCCUACCUUUUAGACAUGCUCAAUUUGUUAAAUACUAAUCACACUACUUCAUCACCACUUGAGUAGAUCUCUAUAAAUGCUCUCAUGCUACCUUUAUUUGCUUUAGUAUAUGUCUAGGUUUCGAGUAGUUUCAUUUAUUUCUUAAUUAAGCAUGGUGCUUAGUUUAGGAAUGAUGAUCUUACUUCCAAGAGAUUUUAAAUUAAGCAUGGUGCUUAGGUUAAAAUGCCCUCCUAAAUCAAAUUAGACAUGGUGUCUAGGUUGAUUUUUGAGCCGAUAGUAUGCUAUAGUAGAUAUUGGAUAUUUUAUUGGACUAACCUCUGCAGGAAAACUUUCAAUAUCAACCUGGGAAGUCCUGAGAUAAACUCACAUUGGAGACAAAGAUAGAGACACAUGAAGGUUAACAAUUUACACAAGGAAGACAUAGCUCACAAGAGAUGAUCCAUGGAGGGUGCCACAAACACGAUGCACAACCGCUAAGAAAGGAAAGCUUCCACAAGGUGAUAUUGUACCAUCACUCUUGAAGUAAGGUAACAUCUUAAGGUACUUGACUAUCACUUUUAUAAGCUUCUCCUUGGUUCUGGCGUUCACAUGAAUAAAAGAGACAAACAUGUGUGAUUUACAACUCUAGAUUAACCAACCCAAUCGAUCCAAUAUGUUUAGUCCUUCCACCUUUGUGAUCCCACACUCCUAAGCAUAUGAGCUAAAAUGUUGCACACACAAUCUUUGGAAGAUAUAUAUAUAUAUAAACAUAAGUAUACAUAGAUUAUCUUUCCAUUAGGUUGAGCGAUCUGAUCUGACAAAUGUUUCAAAUGCUACACUCAUGAUCUUAUUAUCCAUCAACUUCGCCUUGCUCACUAUGCUUAAGGUUAGAGAAGAACAAAUACACUUUUGGUUCUGUUGGUGUUUUCCACCAACAGGGCCCAUGCACUUGAUCUCUGCCUUGUCUCUAUGAGCAGGUACACUUAAAGCAAAACAUGGAGGAGUUUUACAACUCUCAGACUCCACCAAGUGAAUGACCUGGAUCUACGAGCACAAACAUACUAAGCAGGUGCUACUAACGCCGGACUUCGAACUGAUGGGCAAACAAAGAACAUGGGUGACACCGUAUCAAGAGGUGCAGACGUCAAGGUCCACGCCUGAAUCAAAUGACGCACCUAAAGAAUGAACACGGUGAGAAGUCUUGUUCAGAAGACUUAAAACAUUGAACCCUCACGGAAAGGUAAAAUCGAUAGUUAUCCAUAAUUAUUCUUUCUGCAUUCCCUUUUCCCUUAAAUUAUUUACUUUCAUUAAAUAUCUUGUUAGUUAAUCAUGCUAUCUUGAAAAGAAAAUAAAAUUGUUGAAAAGUAAGCCUCAUGUGAGUAUGCUCAUGGCAUAAAACCCAUAUGUACAUUCACUGUGGUGGCGUAAAAAUAAAAUAAAUAUAUUCUUGUCCUAUAAAAAUAAAAAUAUAAAAAAUAAAUUUAUGAUCCUGCCAAAGAGAGUAAUAUUUAUUAGAGGAAGUUCAACAUGAUAACGGCUAAGAGAUUUUAUGCUAACACUUAACCAGUUCAACAAAGCUUUGUUGUCUAUUUGAGCUCCACAGAAUUCAAGGAUCAAAGAAGACUAGCAGACGGAGGACAUCCUAAUCGCUAUCAGGGUGCUGCCAAUAUAUAAAUACACCUCCGCCACCUGCUAGCAACAUCAGAAGAAAUUACGUCAAAAUCCAGCUUGGGGGAGAGCACCCCCAUUUAUCCAGCUAAGUGUUAUACUCACGUUUAUACUCUACUCAAAUAAUAAAAAGAUGCAUAAUCAUAAAAACCCAAAUAAAGAUUUUGUGCCUAUAUAUAUAUCUUUGCUUAGUUUGCUAAAUAAAUAAAUAAAUAAAGUUUGCUAUGAACCCUCAUGAUAAGCUCUCACAUGGAAAUGAUGAAUAAUUGCUCUACCAUGACUAGUUCUCAAAAUUGAAAUCUCUCUCAAGUUUAGGCAUGACUGUUAUUAAUUAAGAUUUGCUCUAAACCUGAAAUUGUGGGAAGAGUAUUUGAUCUAAAGUCUCAGUCGUUAACAGAUAUGAUAUGGAAAGGUUGAGCUGCUGUUUAUCUGUUCCUAGAGAUGCUAAAAUUCUGGAGAAUUUUAUCUUUGAAAAACUUUAAAAUGUUGCAUGAUGAGUUCAUGUAUGAUGAGAGUUUAAAAUUCGACCACAGCCAUAUAUACAUGCUUAUUAGACUAUAAACCAUACAUUUACUUUUUACUGCUUAUGAGCAUUGAGUGUAGUCAAGCUGUGUAGACCCUUAGGAGCUUGUCGUGCGGUUAAAAUCAAGAUUCACUUGCACGUUCACUCAUACAUGCUGCUUCUACUCCGGAAGUACGCAUCCACAUACAUCCACUCAUUUCCAUAUCCAGAUUCACCCAAAAUUGUUCUACUCCUAUCUAGGAGAGAAUAGCCAAAAAUAUUAUCCUAUCCCUGUUAUUCCCCGUGAAAUAAAUGCUCGAGAUAUUUUGGUUACUACCACGUGCUACAUUAUUCCAAGAGGGUGAGUGCUCUGAAAAAAAGGUGAAUACGAGGAAAUAAAAAGGGGCAAGUGCCCGAAACCUCGGAAAAAAAGAAAAAAAAGAAAAAAGUGAGACGAGAGGUAAAAAUGGAUAAGUGUCUGACAGUAGAAUUAGGGGUACAAGAUACCCACUUGAGAGAAAAGAAAAAUAAAAUAUAGAGCAUCUCAUUCCCCUCAAAAGCCUCAAGUGCAAGGAAGGUAUGUACCCCCCUCAAAAGAGCAAAAGUAGAAUUAGACUUUCACCAUUAUCACCAUUCAUUCACCACACAUGCACAUCUUGAUUUGACUCAUUGUCUUGUUCUUUUGGAUCCAUAGUUUGACUAUGCAAUAAAUGUCUUAUAAGUAUGUAUUAGCUGUCUCCCACCUAUGAGCUCCAGAUAUCAAAACCUUAUUAGAGUAGGGUGAGAAAGAAGUCAAUACCACUAUACCUCAUACCAAAAAUACAACAUACUUUGAGAGAAGGCAUACACCAUUACUGCCUUGGUAAGGAUCUAGAAAUACCACAAAAGAGAGACUAGAGAGAGUCAUAUAAGGAAUCUCUGAGUUUUAUUUGAAAAUCUACAAAAAACUCCAGAGCUAUAGUUAAUCGAAGAACAAGAGACAUGGCGCUUGACUAGACCGUUCUAUAUUUUAACUGCUCAAGACACAAGUGACGGUUGCAAGCCCCAUGGUGGAAGGUAAAAUGAGUAAGUUCAAAUCUUAACAGUUUACCCUAACCCAGAGAUGAGAUCUUGUUUGAGCGCAUGUGUACCUUUAGCGCAUGAAACCACUGCAAAAACUCUUGAGUCCAUCUUUGCUCAGGGACGAGCAAGAGGUAAGCUUGGGGGAGCUUGUUGACGGUCCUUAAUGCUCACAUUUAACUGUCAACUAAUCAUGGAAAAGGACCUAUAUGCAACCAACAUCCAAAAUUAGGGUUUCAUCUAACAGAAUUCCAUGAGUUUUGUUGUUUGUCUAUUUCUGCAGGGGGUUCUCAGGAAACAUGGAGGAAAGGCCCACACGUCGGGUUUACAUAGAGAUAUUAACGUGCGCGCCAAUUUUCUAUCAUCUAGAAGACUCUAGAAGCCACGAGAACGAACGGGAGGCCGAGUGGGCCCGGGGGCUGGGCGCCCGCCCUCCCCCCUAGGGCGCCUGCCCUGCCUGGUGACCAAUCAGGGUAGGUCUCGCAGAUCAUGCUCCACCGCCUCUAAUCUUUAAGAAUAACCGUGCGAUUAAGGUCGGUUUGAUCCGGCGGCCCAUAUUCAUUUGGAGGGGCUAUAUAAGCAGGCCCCCUGACCCAUGGAGGCAUACCUCUUCUAUAGAAUCAAAGCUAGGGUUUCAAUUAUUCAUCCAAGUAGAGAGGAUCCCUAUAGUUCAUCUAGUUCUAGUUCUAGUGAGUUAUAGUUGUAAUCUAGAAAAUAGGGAGAGGGAAGAGGAGAGUGGAGGAGGAGCCGAAUCUAUCAGAUCUUCCUCAACAUUGUACUUUUGCAGCAACUGGUUCGUUCUUCAUCGUUCUCCAAGUUCUUCAAUUCAUAAUUCUUGAGUUCUUUAAUUACUUUUGUUUACAUUCAAGUUAUUUAUUGGAUUCCCACUUGCAUCAAGUGCUCUAGUCCUUGAAACGCUAGAGUAGUAAUUAAUAGAUUAGACAUGGUGUUUAGUCUUGCAAUUACCUAGAAUUACACCCAAUCCUGCGGAUUGUUGUGGUAGCCCUAGGGUAGUGACAGCCCUAACGGUCAACGUAUUCCACCU